CACCGGCGUCUCCGUGGCAGGCGGCAGAUUUGGUAGUUUGAGAAAUUGCACCAGGCAGUUCAGUUGUGGGUUGGGAGUCUGACGGAGCCCACGAGACCGAUUCACGGGGCUUUGGCAGCCGGCCGUGAAUGUCUUUAUUUCGGGUCACCUCGCUUGUGUAAGCAUUUGGCUUCUCCUGUGAACCUUGAUGUUACUAACCUGGAAAUCUGGUUGCGCGUCGCUACUCGUCUUCUGCUGCAGAUGCCGGAGAUAUGCCAUGUCCUACCUCCCUCGGUGCCUGAUCUCCAACCGUGUGGCUAUCCGCGUCGGGUUGCUGCUUUGUUUUACCGUAAUUGCAGCGUGAAUGACAGUGCGUGUGGUUGUGCGCGUGUGUGUAUGUCAUUUUGUUUCUUUUCAUUUGUAGGAUGAGAGCGAGAAAGUGAGAGCUCUCGAUACUCUGUAUUUUAUUUUCAACCCACUGUGUUUCUGUUAUGUUUAUUUUGUUUUCGGAUGUACACCACUCUUGCUGUAGCAACAAAGUGUUUGGGCCUUCCCAGCUCCUGUAGCCUAGUCCAGAGUUUGCGGUGAUGUGUAGCCGAGUAGGGCUACUCUGUGUGGUGCCAGUGUGAUUUCACCGUUGCGGUGCAUUUGUAUAGCACUUUAAAGUG